CGGUUUCGGAGCGGCGCACUCCUCCUCCCAGCGCUUCUCCGAUUGGACUGACGGCACUCCUCCUCCCAGUCGUCAGUCAAACCAAACACGCCCACCGGACCUCCUCCCCCGGUGGGCGUUGUUG
rnacentral:sRNA from 1 species